UACGUAGGGGGCGAGCGUUGUCCGGAAUCAUUGGGCGUAAAGAGCGUGUAGGCGGACUGGAAGGUCUGGUGUGAAAGCCCGGGGCUCAACCCCGGAAUUGCCUUUAAGACUGCAUCGCUAGAAUCCGGGAGAGGUGAGUGGAAUUCCGAGUGUAGAGGUGAAAUUCGUAGAUAUUCGCAAGAACACCAGUGGCGAAGGCGGCUCACUGGCCCGGUACUGACGCUGAGGUGCGAAAGCGUGGGGAGCAAACAGG
rnacentral:rRNA from 1 species